rnacentral:lncRNA from 1 species
GGCACCCCCUCUUUCGCCCUGCCCUCCUUCUCCUUCCACCCACCCACCCCGACACCCCUUGUCCCUCCCCCAACCACUCUGAACGGAUAGACAGGGGGAGAUUCAUCUUCGUCGUCGCACCCAGCUGCUGCUACUGCCAGUGCCACGUGCCUUGCAAGUGUCUCUUGGCUCUGCUGUCCUCUGUGUUGUCUUCAUGCUUAGCCAAACCUCCUCUGAAUGGUGGCAAGAAUGGUCUCAACAGCUCCAACCUUCUUAUCAGAAAAAUAAUCGAGUUGAGAGUAAUUGGGUUUACAUCAUGGAUUGAACUUUGGAAACUUCACUGACCACUUAAUUUAAACGCGCUGGUGCUGAUGGUCAUUCUUGCUCCUGGCUGGAAGCUCCCUGGAGAGGCACUGGUGGCAGCAGGAUUCUCACCUUCUCGAGGUGCUCAGGGUUGGAAUCCUGGGUACAUCAGGGAAGCUCUCCUAGUCAACACAGGAGACGCGGGGAAAAUCAGGUUGCUAGAAGCUCCUUCUCAGUCAUUUUUUGGACCGUAAGAGCUGAACGAUGUCUGUCAGGAGUGAGGUGGGCGCCUUAUUCGGUACGAACUUUGCUGGCUCCCUGAGUGAUGACAUCGCACUGGAGUGCAUGCCUUUAGCACUGUCACAUCCUUCUCCUGAAGAGCAGGUUGCUGGAUACUGAAUGACAGCAGGUGCAGAAGAUGAGCCGUGCCCCAUCAGAUGCCUGCCCUAUCACUCACUCUGCGGAAGCCAGCUGCCACGUCACGAAGACCCUCUGGCUAUUCUGUGGAGGGGUUUACAUGACUCGGAGCUAAGGCCUCCUGCCAGCAGCCAUGUGAGCGAGCAUCUUGGGGGCAGAACCUCCAGCCUCAGCCUUUGGGUGACUGCAGACUGCAAGCCAAUUGCUUCACCUGCAGGCCUUGAGCCAAAACUGCCCAACUACCCAACUAAGCUCCUCUGGGAUCCCUGACCCUCAGAAAAUGUAAGUGUUUGUCAUUUUCAGCUGCCAGUUUUGGGUUGGUUGUGUGGCAACAGAUAUCUGCUAGAGGAGCUUGGAUAUAACUCAUGACUGGGAAGCGUUAUGAAAUGUCAUUUUCUGAAUUCAGGUAAUAGAUGCAUUUUCCUAGUUAGUCACUGACCAGGAAUUUAAAAAGCAUUAAAAAAAGCAUUUUUUUUUUUAAUGAUAUCAGCUUCACUUCUUAGAGUGAGAUCAUUAGUGACAUGCAUUCCAGUUCACAUAUUCAUUCAAAAACGUGCAGGUGGGAACAGGGUCCACAUUUGGCUCGGUCCUUCCUCAUUGUUGCCGUGGUCCCCCAUUCACAGGUUCAUCUCGAUGAGAAACAGGUGUCCGGUACAUCGACUUGUCUGUCCUUUCCCACCUCUCAUUCAUUUAGCCUCAGCCAAGGACUGCAGAUUUCACUCGCGCUUCAUCUAGGAUUUGCAGAGAAUGUGUCCCUCUUUUUAUCUAUAACUAAUCUUGUUUCCUCGCUGCUGAUUACCUGGGAACAAACCAACCAAAACAAUGCCCAAGUAACUCUAAUACUUUGGUUACAAAUCAAUCUGAUUUGCAAACUUAAAAAGCACUUUCAGCUCAGUCUUUUAGGAAAAGAAACCCAAUACGAUUUACCUCUCAGACUUGUGUCAUUCGCUUAUCACUGAGUUUUGUCAGGAAAUCAUCUGGGUACGUGGUGGGAAUGGCGAGACUUCCAAGAUCUCAUGGUGGCAGAGUUCCCGUUGUGGUUCAGUGGGUUAAGACUCUCGCUAGUAUCCAUGAGGAUGCAGGUUCGGUCCCUGGCCUGGCUCAGUGGGUUAAGGAUCUGGCGUUGCUGUGGCUGUGGUGUAGGUUGAAGUCACGGCUCGGACCCCACAUUGCUGUGGCUGUGGCUGGCAGCUGUAGGUCAGAUUCAACCUCUAGCCUAGGAACUUCCAUAUGCCGCAGGUGCGGCCCUAAAAAGACAAAGACAAAAAAAAAAGAUCUCAUGGUGGAGAAGAAUUCCAGGUCCUUAGACAUGGUGUCCUGGUACUUUCUGGCUCCUGGAAUGAUGUCUCGUGCCCUCCGAACCUCCUGGACACAUUCUGGCUGUUUUUCCUUCCCUUCGUUUUGGUCAAGGCCUGUUGUACUUUGCUGGACACUUAGCCACCAAGUCCCCUCCCAGGGGUGCAGUGGAGCCUUCUGAGUUCUGAGGGUGCCUCUCAUUCUGGCUCCUGUGUCAAAACCACGUCCUCCAAAGCCCUCAACAAAGAGCCACCUGGCCCCAGGGAGGGAGCUGCUCUUUUCCAUGGCCCCUGGCCGGAUUCUCAGGUAUGUCUGGGUUCUGUCUAUGCUCUUGGGAACCAAGAGGGCUCAUGGGAAGCUAAAACUUAGGCCUGCUUCUGCCUGACUCCGACAAAUAACCAAGUCACUUUUGGCUGUUGUAGGACUUUUCUGUAGUCUCCGGAGCCCCUCUCCCCACCCCCUACCUGAAUGUCCCUGGUCUGAUCUGAUAUCCACACCAAGCCGGGCUGACGCCCAGUGAAGACAGACACUGCCUGUCACACAACGUAACAGUCAAAUGAUGUCAUGGCCUUCCCGUCCUCCCCUUUUCUCCGGUCCCGUCUCAUCUGGGUUCCCCCCACCCCCACCUUCUCCUGCGUAAGACCCUUAGUCCACCAUAGAACCAUAAGCCUUCGGGACUUGCUGCCUUAGUCACAGCACAGCUAGAGGAUUAGUUUCUUUGUACUAUGAAAGAAGAACUCUAAGGAAUAAAGGGAUUUAGGGUCUUCGUAAAGCUCCAUGUUGCUCAGGUGUUCCUGCAUUGAGUGUCAAAAGCCAAGUAUAACCUCCGUCUUACCCUGUUCGGCCUGGAAUGGAUCUUAAUUUCCCACGCAGGUGGUUGUCUUGGGGCCAAGUUAGGUGAACAUCAUGAACUCAAAAAGGCAAAGGAAAAUUCACACUCGUAUUUUUCAAAAGAUCCCCCCAUUGUAUCUGUCUUUAUUAUGAGUUUUCGUUAUCGGUCCCCCAUUCAUAGAUUUCCGUCUGCAGAACAGAGGCAGUGACCCUAGAUUUUCAUUCGACUCUGUUCCAUUUGUCUCUGGCAGCCUGGGCAAAAGCCUCGUGACUCUCCCGUUUUCUGUAAGCACGCGGGCGUUGGCUUGUAAGUGAAGCCGGCUUUGUGUUCUUGGGCACCUGGAGCGGCAGUGCCCGCAGGAGAGCAGGAUGGUGAUUCAGCCGGGGGCCCCCUCAGGGCAGCCAGGGAGACGGCGGAGCCUGGUCUGGGUCUCUCCUGCCCUCCUGCUCACACCUCUCUAUUCAAUGACAGGAGAGAAAGGUGAAGCGGGCCCAGCCAAACCCAUGCAUCCUCGCUCCGAGAGUCCUUACAGUGUCAGUAAAUCAGCACCCCCACUGCCCAGAGCCACCCGCCACUCAGUAGCUCCCAUGGGUUUGAGGUGACUCCUGAGCAUUUUUUUACUGAAAAUCAGAGCUGCUUAAACCUUUCCGAUGUACCCAGAUCUCUUGCUGUCGCUUUCACAUGAAGUCAGACUUUGCGGGAGACGGUUUGGGAGACAGCCUUUAUCACAUUCUUUAAUUCCUUCCGUCUCAUCAGCUCUCAGUCCCAGUCUGGCUCCUACGGCUUCUUCUAUCAGAUUCCUCAGCCCUCAGGCAACUUUCGGCCGUGCCUGCAGCACCUGUCUUUCCUGUUUGUAGAUGACAGUACUUAGUGUCUGCUCCUACGUUCAUUUAAAGAUGACUUUUAGAGACUAUGCUCUCUGAAGGAGACGGUCGCGUUGCAUUAGUCAGUUCUAAGCUUGUCUGCGUCCAAGUCCAUAGCACUGAUAAAGGGAGACCAACAGUUAUUGAUCCUCUACUGUACCUGAGGCCAACCCCUUAAAAGCAUGAUUUCAUUUAGUCUUCACGGACAUCUCUAGUUAUUAUUUUAUAGAUGAGAAAACUGGGUCUUAGAUAGGAUAGUUGAGCAAAUUACCCAAGCUCACAGCGACUAAGCGGUGGUGCCAGAGUUCACAGCUAAGACUCUCUGUCUCCAGAGCUUCCGCCCACCCUGGUCUGUUUAGUUCACACUGAGGGUCCCAGCUUUUGUCAGACACAUGUCUUAUAAAAAGAACAAAUGAAAAAGGAGACAGCUUCCUGGAGACCUCCAGGCGGAUGGCUUCCAGGCAUCACCAAAUUGGGUAAUUGCAGCUGAACCCAGCCAGGUCCAUCCUAAGCCCACUCAUGUCCUUGAAAAUGAACAUCCAUGCCGGCCUCUGGCUCUUUGAAAGCCCUUAUCCCUGGGGCAAGAGCCCAUAGAUGCAUUGAUGAGCAAAAGAUGGUUGCGUGCCUUGUCGCUGGAGAGUGGCUUACCUUUCCGAGACUCAUACCCAACAGAAAUCAACCUUUUGAGGGCAAUUUCUUCUACGAUGUCACAGCAUAAACAUCACAUAGAGAUUGGGUGUGGCAGGAGGCCUUUCAUCUCCCCUCCUGGAUUCCCACACAUGGCAGUUUUGUGCGGUUGGCUCAUUUGGGUUGAAAGAGGUAUCUUCAGGUGGCCUUGAGGAGUGAGGGAGGGCCGGGUGUUGAACAGAAAGAGAGGAUGAGUGCAGCGGUGAGGGCAGAGCUGUUGCUGUUCCUCAGCUGGCCCAAGAGAUGGGCUCUGCCUCCUGAGAAGCUACAAGGACCUGUUGACAAAAGGCUUGGAUUUACUCAUGGCACAUGUGGUGCUGCAUGAAGGCCUGGGUAACGCAGUACUGCACAGAAUUCAGAGGGAGAACAUUCUUCCAUUUCUGUGCAGAACACAGUGACCCAACCCUUGGGGUCUGGAAAGUUUUUAAAGGCAGAAGUGCUGGCCAUGCCCGCUAGGGUUCACUUCAAUAGAGUAGAGCAGCCAUGGGGGGAGAAGGGGGCGACCUUGCAAAAUCUGUGGCCAGCAACUUAAGUGAUGGUGCUGGAAAAUAAAAGAGGGAGUGUCCUGGGAACGCUGGGAACGUUACGAGGGAUACACAUGAUGUCAUGUGGGUGUGGAAUUUGAACUGGCUUAAGUGCAGCACAGUUCUUUCUAAGACUGUAAUCUGGCCAGCAAACUAGAGCGGCGUGUGGGCAUUCAAGUUUAUGUAUCUUCACAGCAAUUACAAAAAACAUGUGGGUAUAACAGCAAUGUAGCAUCUUCUCAAUUGGAUAUUGAUAAAAGCCUGUGUUCCCAGUGGCUUGGCUCACAUUUCUCACCAGAUUGCUUUGUCCCUCUGUAGCCCCAGGUUCUCCUUGAUCUUUUUUUGCUUGCGCAUCAAUCCGCAUACCGCGAUGGUCCAUGCCAUGGUGGUUAACUUCAAAGCUUAGAGCUCCUAUACUAGCGCAAAGAAUUUUCUCUCUGGUUGCUUAGAGUUAUUUCUUCCAUAUGAGGACUUUCUGUCUUGUGAUGGAUCAUGCAAAUCUUAUCAACUACAUUUUGUUGUGCCUAAUGGCUAGUUUCCAAGAUUGUAUACAGAGUGGAAAGGUUGGGGAGUGGCCCUCCUUUACCACAAAGCUGGGCUGGUACUUUCAACUUUUCAACAUGUGAGAGUUUUUCGUGGCUGUGGGGGAAGGAUGCUCCUUGCCUUCUGUAUCUUCAGUUGGGAAAAGAGGAGCAGCCAGGUAAUGAGUUCAUGGGAAAUAUCGACUCUAUUUUUCAGAGGCUCCUUCAUCUAAGGCUCUCUAUCCCAUAAACAUCCCUUUCUCCUCCUCCACACUCACAGGUUAUAUGAAAUUUGUAUGCCCUGUUACAAGGAGGAGGUACAACUUAAUUAUUUCAUUCUACUUAUGUGUGGAUUGUGCUACAAGUAUUCAUGGAAAAUAAAGUACCAAGUCCAGGCAGAAGUCAGCUUUACAACUGCCAUCUAGGUGACAAGUUUCUCUAGAACAGUGCCUUAAAACGGAAAUGGUAUUAUUUACUUAACUUGGUUUGCACACACUCUAGGUAAAUUUGAUAGAAAAAGGAAUUUAAAUUAAACAACAGCAGCACAUAUUUCCCCCAUUUCCCUUAAUCAUAGACAUUGUGAUUAUAGAAACAGUUUAUCAGCAAAUGCAGUUCGGUUAUCUUUUCUUUUCCUCUCUUGCAAACUGAAUCCCAUAAACCAUGAAGGUCUCAGAAUGCUUUUGCAGCUAUUGGAUUAUUUUAAACAAAAAAGGAAGCAGCCACCAAAUAAUUCAGGCAGUCUUGUUAUAUAGACAUAGCUCCCAGCCAAAACCCUAGGUGUUUCUGGCAUUUCUUUUUUGCUACGUUCUUGUUCUAGAAAGACUCCGUCGCUUUUCCGGGCACUACUUAAUUUUUUUUCCUCCUGUUUCCAAAUUUGUUAGAGAUUCAAGAUGGUCUACUUCAUCUUUCCCUUCUGAGAAUUCGUGUUUCAAUAACCUACUGCCUUUAGAAAAACAGCAGAAUGCAUUCAGCGUCACUGUUUUCCUUCUUCAAAGAUUCCUCUAAGCGUCGAGAUUGUUUGUCAGGUGAGCCGAGUGGUGAAUCUCUCUUCAUCUGUGGUGUGUUCAGAGCACUGACCGGAACACCUUGGGCCAACGUGAUUAAAACAAGAGCUCCAACCCCCACCUACUUAGCUUUUCUUUCCUCUCUUUUCAAUGAUGUCUGCAAUGUCUUUUAGGAUAUUACAAAUUUUCUUCCAAAACUUUGCCCUCUGGUCCACUGAGGAAGCUCCCUUACAUCACUCUUGCCGUUGGAGCCAGAUCAGGACAGGCAGCUUCAUUUAACAAAUGCCUAAAAACAUGUGUCUGACAUCUGUCCUGGAAACCCAGUGCAGCCAGCUUGAAAACCUCUCUCUGACAGAGGCAGGACAGAAGUAGAGCAUGCUUUCUGUCACAUUAAUCUUAAAUAAUGUGGCUUUGCUAGAAAAAAAAAAAAAA